CGAAACACUUGUUCGAGUGGGUUUAGGUAAAGUGUUAAUAAUUUUCAAGUGAAACUGCCGUUAAAAUGCCCCUUUCACCCGCAAAGGGACAUUUUUUAUCCGCAACAAGCGAUGAAAAAACAACACAGAUCUUCACAAUGGACCUGCGGUAUAUGCGGCAAAUAAUUUUUCGAAGAAAAAUUGCUAGACAUGCAUUUCGAUAAUCGGCAUGAAGAGAAAAUUAACCUGGUAAGUGUCUUAAUUUAACCUUGAUAACUAAUGAUGUUUAAUUGAAAUUUAAAUUGAAAAGUGACUAAACUAUUGCCUAAUAUUCCAGGCCGAAAAUGCCGUAUGUCUGGCAGAUUACUGUGAUAUAAUGCGUUGCGACGUAUUUGGUCUCAACGACCUCAAAUCGGAAACUUCGAAACCAGAGAACACCGACAUUGAAAUUUGGAGGGAGGCCUCGGCUUACUCAAAAGCCGCCCAGGGACCACGCGAAAUUGCCAAAUACGUAUUGGACACUUGGGUUUGCAACGGAGUGAAAAGAAAUGCGCCAUUUCUGGAACCCUAAAGUGCCAAAAGGUUAAGGAUAAGGAGACUGCAAGUGUAAAGGGCGGCACAAACGACGAGGACGUUUUUCAGCAAAAUUUCAGCAGCAAUAACAAUCAGGUUUGUCAAAGCGAUCUCGUCGACUCGGCCUUACGAGCACCGGACGAACGACAGCAGCGCAUCGAUAAAAUUCAAAAACUGAAAGCCGACUGUAAACCUGAGGAAUACCUCUUUUGAAUAUGUUUCAGAGUAUGGGUAAAAGCGAGUAAAUGAAUUAAUUAAAUCCUACGGUUGUAAAAGCAAAGAUGAGGGCAUGUACAGGCAGAUAAGGAAGGAUAUACAGGCUAAGCUACAAUUUGAGCCAAGUCAAAAUUUAGUGAUUCUACUCUCGAUUUGAUGAACUUCGUCC